CGCGUAUUUUGCGCAGGCGGAGCUCGACCGCCGGUUCAAGCCAUGAUCGCCUUCAUCGACGAGCAGCGCCAGGCGCACGGGGUCGAGCCGAUCUGCAGGGAGCUGCCGAUCGCCCCG
rfam:Rhodospirillaceae bacterium BRH_c57 BRHa_1005147, whole genome shotgun sequence.